AGGUCCAACACGAGACUAACUGUUCCGCAUAGAAGUUUCCCAAAGGCAGUCUCUAGAGAUGGAUUGAUGAAGUCAGAGGUCAUGCACAGGGAAGUCUGGAAGAAUGUGAACAGCAACAUACACCCG